rnacentral:rRNA from 1 species
UACGGGAAGGGCAAGCGUUGUUCGGAUUUACUGGGCGUAAAGCGCGCGCAGGUGGGUGAACAAGUCGGAAGUGAAAUCUUGAGGCUCAACCUCGAGGCUGCUCCCGAAACUGUUCGCCUAGGGACUGGUAGAGGCUGGUAGAAUUCCCGGUGUAGCGGUGGAAUGCGUAGAGAUCGGGAAGAAUACCUGUGGCGAAGGCGGCCAGCUGGGCCAGAUCCGACACUGAGGCGCGAAAGCGUGGGGAGCAAACAGG